CCUUACACACAUGCGCGCAUCGCUCGCGUUUGUGCAUGUGUCUGUGUGAGGACGAGUUGCAAGCCGAUCAUUUUGAACACGUCCAUCUAGCAGAGCGCCAUGCUUGCUUCUGAGGUCUACGUGACAGCAGCAAAUUAGUGUGGAGAUGCCCCUCACCUGUGUCUGCUUUUGUGGCCUAAACAGCUUCUGCAACAGACAGAAGGUCAAGAAAAAGCAACAGUUAAAGGAAGAUCAAAGUGAGAAGGUAGCACAAUGGAAGGAUCAGGAGACAUACGUGUGACACGAAUUACUAACCUUGCCAGACUGCGAUAUAAUGGCUGUAUAUAUUUUAACGGGAAACAGUCUUUUUAGAAUGUAAAUGUUUUUAUAGACCAUGGUUUGCUUUCUCACUUAUUCCAAACUGAAAUGGUGACGAGGUGCCAACUUUAAUACUUGCUUCCUAUACUGCCUGAACCAGCAACUCCAAAGGUAUUGUGAGCCCCAUUGCUCAAUAUGCUACGAGUUUUAAAAUGAACACCCCAUUAUCCUUUCUUGUUUUUUAAUUAUUCUUAUUUUGUAUUUUGUGAGGGGAAAGAAAAAAUGCUUUUCCCAUUUGGGACCAUUCCUUUCUUGUAUUUCCCAGUGCACUUUAUGGUGACGUGAAGUCAGUUGGCUCCAGAAAUCCAUUAUUUCAUUAUGUCACACCUCUCAGUGAUGCCCCAUUGAUCUUUUCUUGUCCUUAAUCACCAUUCCACACUGAAUUGGAACCAAAGCCAAACAGAACACAGCACUUAUGCAUCUACCCGUUGAUGUCCCUUCAACUUAGUGAAAAUUCCAACUUAGUGAGAAACUCGACAGCCAUUUCCAAAGUCACCCGUGGUGCGCUAGAGCCCAUCUUGCUUUUCACACUGAGCUGGGCACGAUCGAAAGUUGAGCAGCUGUCCAAUCAGCAGCGUCACUCAAGUGUAAAGAUAGGAGUCAGGGGUCAGAAUGAGGAACAGGGUUUGUGAGAAUUCCCUCCACAGACAUCAGAGCAUCCUGCCCUCAUUAAUAGACAGACAAGUAAUUACAAACACACAAAAAAACACUGCAGACCCUUGAUUAAUGCCCUCCAGUGGGAGUGUCUGCCCAUAAAUGCCACCACAGUGCAUAUUUAGCUAUCACCUGUUUGAAUGUGUGUUUAGAGUGUUUAUGUGUGCAUCUUGGCUGUAACAAUAGACUUUCAGGCCUGAAAUAAGUGGAUAAGAUAUCCAUUCAGGCAAUGUAGCGCUGCCUUUUCAAAAUUCACAUUAAGAUCCAAAGACAAAAUGCACAGACAUGCACACACACACACACACACAUUCCUAGGUCUCAUUAGUGUUUGUGAUUAUGCAUCACACGUCCAGUCAGGCAGUGGAGAUGUAAUUAACCUUUUCCAGCAGGAAACAGAUGCCUGGAUGUCACACACACACGCCCGCUGUCAGGGAAACAAAGCCAACGUCACGGUGUCACGGAAACAAAGUCCUAAAAAGCGAUGCCUGGCACUUCGUGAUAAUCCCCUUUUGCAUAUUACAUUUUGGGUUUAGAGAACAGAUCAGUGCUGCCAUCUCCUCCCAGCAUUUACCCUUUCUGGCUAUCUUUAAGACUACUAAAAUAUACACAGCAAAAACUCAAAUCUUAGUGCAUUUACAGUAUCUUAUUUUGAGUGAAAACACUUGUUUUUCUACAUUUUCAGCAAGACAAAAACACUUUUAAGAUGCAACUUAUUUUAAGAAUCAUCCAUCCAUCUAUUUCCGUUUAUCAAAGGUCAGGUCGCAGGGGCAAGCAGCUUUAGCAGGGAAGUCCAGACUUUCCUCGCCUCAGCCACUUCAAAUUAGCCAUUGAAACUAGUAUGACUUGACUUGAUAAGAUUCUUCAAAUAAGCGCUUGUAACUUAAAACAAAAUUUCCGAAGAGUCUUAAAAUAAGUACAGUAAGAUGUUUUCACUAUAAAUAAGAUAAAUGCACUCCUUAAGAUUUGCAUUUUUGCAGCGUGGACAGCCGUUAUGGUGCUAAUGUAUGAUUCUGCAUGACUGUGAAUAUUCUCAUUCAAGCAGGUUAUUUCAUUUUCAGGGCAUUGAACCGAUCGCAAUUGGACUGUUCUGGUUGUCUCGGGAGACCUUUCGCGUCUCAUGUUGUGUUAUGCGGCACGGUGGCGGACUGGUUAGAGGGUCUACCUCACAGUUCUGAGGAGCUGGGUUCAAUCCCCGGUCCCGCCUCUGUGGAGUCUGCAUGUUCUCCCCGUGCCUGCGUGGGUUUUCUCCGGGCACUCCGGUUUCCUCCCACAUCCCAAAAACAUGCAUGGUAGGUUAAUUGAUAACUCUAAAUUGCCCGUAGGUGUGAAUGUGAGUGUGAAUGGUUGUUUGUUUGUAUGUGCCCUGCAAUUGGCUGGCAACCAGUUCAGGGUGUACACCGCCUCCUGCCCAAUGAUAGCUGGGAUAGGCUCCAGCACGCCCGCGAACCUAGUGAGGAGAAGCGGCUCAGAAAAUGGAUGGAUGGAUGUUGUGUUAUAACAGUGUUUCUCAACUGGUGGGUUGGGACCCAAAAGUGGGUCGCUGACCCAUAAUGGGUGAGUAGCAGACAGGUAGUAAAAAAAUGACGUGGGGUCCUCAACGGUACCGACGUAUGUUUCAAGGUUACGAAUACCAGUCAAUUAACUCAUUUCUGCAGUGCCGUAAAAAUAUAUGGUCACAUGGCACAAGACAGGAGCCUCAAGUACUUGCUGUUCUUCAUUGGAUUCUUUUAUAUUUAUCAAGUGUUUUUCAAAUAAAUAGCUAAUAUAACCAUGACUUUACUACUGUGUCCGUGUAGAUUAGUUAUUGAUGACACCACACGGUCGAUUUAAAUACAUAUUCUGUACGUACGCAAAAAAACGAGGACACCCUGUCCAGUGAAAUAUUCAAGUGUAGCCCAAGUCGGACUUGAAUUUUAUUUGGAAAAUAACUAUUUUGACAGUUAUCUGUGAGAAAAGGUAUUAGUUUGGGUAAGGGACAUUCCCAAAAAGAAGAGAUCAGUGCCAAAGUCAGUGAAAAUUUGUGGCUGUAUUUUGUGCUGAGUUAAUUUUACGGUAAUCAUUUUUGCACAAGUUGUUAUGCUCAUCCUCUUUUCUUAAUAAGGUGCUCUGAAAGGUACUUUGAACAUGUAACGUGUUGUUAUGUUGACAAAAUAUGAUAUGUGUUUUCAACGGCUGUUUAGAUCAUGGUCUUUAUUUUUCUUCAGUUCUGUAGAAGUGCGUCGCGACUUGAUGACAAUGGGAAAUGCGGCUCGCAACACUUGAGAACCACUGUCUUAAGGCUUCUUUAUACUCGUGCGGGCGGCGACCGUGCUGACGCAACUGCGGCUAUCCUGCACGCAGUUUGCCUUUAUACUCGACCGCAACCCACACACGCUGUUUUGAAAAUGUACUGCAGUUCUCCUCCAAGUCGGGGGUUAUCGCUAGAGCUGGUAUUGACUAGGACACCACAGGGUGGAGUUUCCUCUGCAUUUUAUAGCCAAUUCCGGUAGCCGUUUUUACUUUCCGGAACAAGGAACAAAGCAACAAUAAUGGUGACCCUGGAACAGUGCCUGCUAGAGCAAAUUGGCCUAGAUGACCACAUGAUGCAUUUAAUUAUAUUGCAGAAUCGAUCAAGAAGGCGGUGGCGUAGGUGGUACUGUAUGUACGGCUGAGUAGCUGAUUACGUCAUCUCAGCAUGUGACUAAAACAGACCAAUGACAAGAGAUGAUCUCCGCCACAUUCUGCGCGCGGCGACUAUUUGUGCCGUGUGCACGUCAAGUGUCGCAUAGGGGCCGUGCGGCCCAUUGCGUCUCUCAUGUGAUGCAAUGCGAGCGCAGGAGCAUAAAGAGACCUUUAGCCUGCGCGGAUGAGAUGUGAAACAUCUACUAAGACAACCAGAACAGUCCAGUUGUGAUCGAUUCAAAGCCUUGAGAAGGUUUCUGCAUAAAUUUGCAGAUUGUCUGUUUACUAAUACUCUCACUACAAGCCUUGAAAUUCAAGAAAGUUGUAGCCAUUUCACAGUGUCGAACACUUAUUAUGAUUCACAAAGUUCCAACGCUGCUCUAAUGAGAGAGCGGGUGAGGGUAUUGGAUGGAAAAACGAUAGGAGAGGAAAACAGAAAAGAUGAGAGGGAGGAAUAAAUACGGAAGAGGGGGUCAAACUCUAGGCGGAGCAGUCAUGCUAAUUGGCUACAGUUGAUAACUUUCUAAGGCGGGGGUUUGUGUGUGGUGGGGGUGAUAAUAGGGUUAGGAGUGGGAUGGCAAUGGAAAGAACAGCCUGAUCUGUCAGCAUUACAUUCGUUUAAUGCUCUCUCCAUUUCACCUCAUUAAUGAGAGAAAUGUUCGCUUCAGUAAUGGUGAAUGACUUAAAAUUGGUAACGAUGCACUGCUCACACACACACACACACGUGCGGGCACGGCAUGGGGUAUAUUUUCUCCUACACUUUUAUGGAUCAGAGCAAUGCUCAGGGAUUAUAAUUCAAGGACAAAAAAAGAUAAAAAUAGAAGGGUGGUGUACGACUUCUGCAAUGGUGGGAUGGAAGGAGGGAUGGUUGGAGGAGGUGUGUAUGUGUGGGAGGAAGGUUACAGUGAAAAUGAGUCCUGUCGCUUUAGAUUUGGGUCAAGAAAGGGGGGAGAAGAAGGAAGAGGCAAAUAUUACAGACGGUGGGGAGAUUCAUCACUUGCGUCACCCUGCGUCUCUCCCUCCUCUCCUUUGAAACUUCAUCACUUUCUUUUCUUUUUCACACACACACACGCAACAUGCACACGCACACACCUACCACAGGAAGACGAUGAGGUAUUAGUGUGGGGGGGGGGGGGGGGAGGCUACAACAGAAAAGGAGCAGCAGCAGGGGGGAAAAAACGUCCAUGAGAGAAUUUUUAAUGGGAGAGAGACCAAACCUCAGCUAAGUUACAUCUUAUUGUAAUAUUUAUAUAUGCAAUUUCAUCCCUGGAUUGUUGCUGCAUGUGUGAAUUUAUAAGUGCUAAUUUCAGUUCGACUGGAGCUCUAAUGAUAGCGCAUGUGUUUAACUUUAAAAUACUGUGUGCGAUAAUUUGGGGCUAUGAAAAUGUUAGCGCUUUUCGUCAGGGAGAGGAAUCUUGAAGCCAUGGUUAUUAAUGCUGCAUGAUACAGCUCAGCCUUCCUUCCUGAGUGCCCUCAUGCGCAUCAGCCUGUGAUUGCUACACCGCACUAAUUCAUAUCGGUCCUGUUUUUCUAAUGAAGAUGAUGGUCUCACUCAGGCCAAUUAAUAGGACUUAGAAGCAGAGCACUGACAGACUGGUGAUAGAGUCAUAAGGGAAGAGCCAACACUGCACUUGGUUUUUCCACCAGUCCCCAAGCAGCAGCAGGGAAGAAAGCAAGAGGGCAGAUUAAAAGGAACUGAAGAAUAGAGGAACUAUAUUUAAUAGGCAAUGUGGAUGGUUUUGCCCAGGACAUCUGUCAGGGCAAAAAGAUUUCACGAGAAUUUAUGUUUUAAGUAAUCAUGCCUCAAAUUAAGCUUUGCAUUUGUACUGCACUAUAUUUAAAAUAUGCAUUGUGUUCCAACAAAAUGCCCAGCCCCAGUUAUUAUCCUACAAACAGUACUUAACUUUGCUAUGUAUUUUUAAUGACCCUAUACUGUACUCUAUUUGCGCACCUCCACCGCACGCAGUCAAUAAUGGCGGCCUGUGCGACACCCGACACAAGUAUUACCGUAGACAACAUUUACAGUACAUAUUCAUAGACCCCACAUUGAGUACUGAAUCUUCCGUUGACAUCGCAGCCGUAUGGCUGUGGCAAAGUAAAGUGAUCUGUGAAGAUGCCUUGUUCAUUUCUUGGUUUGAGAUGCAUCAACAGUUUUACUUUCAAAGCCACAACUCAUGAGAACCAUAACUUUUUAUUGUAUUUGGCCAUUCUAACACCAUUUUACAUGUAUAAUUUGCGGAUUUUGUGGCAAAUACGAAUGCCACGUCCAAUAUGGCAAAAUGUGCUGACAUAUCGGACGGAAAGGGCCACCCUGUUCAAGGCAGUGUCUAUGUAUAUAUUUGCAUUUUACAGCUGUAAUGUGCACACACAGACAAUGCGCUAAGGUUCACGUUUAAGUGCAAGUAAUAAAAUGAUGAUGCAUACAGGAGCUAACUGUGUUUUUGGAUUUCUGCAGGUAGAUAAUUUUAGUUCUGGUUUUUAUUUCAUAAAUGAGAGGAGGGGUCAUUUAAACAUUUAGUAGCUUCAACCCAGUGUCUUUUCCCCCCGGACUUGCAAGUAUUUUUGUUGCACACAGAAAUGUAAAAAAAAAAUUAUGCGCACCUUGCAUAAUGUUAAGUAAGGCCUGUUGCAGAUUAGGUUGGCCAUAAAUCAAACAAAAUUACACCAUUGUUUGUUAAUAUUUUUGUUUUCGUGCUGUAUAACACAAUAAUAGUUUUUCUUAACACAAAAAUAGCUACUAUGAUGAAAAAAAAAUGCAAACAAAUGUUUAUUUGUAGAGAUACGAGCCAGUGGGGGGUGGGGGGUGUCCACGGCCCCCUAUGGCCCACCCAUAGUCACAAUAUAAAACAUACUUUUGUUAACAAUUCCACCUUGGCAGAGGUCCAUGCUCGGCUGAAAGUGUGUUUGCUAAAACAUACUACAUUACAAUUAGCUGGUUGUCCUCUGAUUUGCCUUAUGAAAUAAUGGAAAAGUCUGUUUAAAUAGUUUGUUCACGGAUCAAACUAUUACAGUAGCAUUUUAACACAAAUUGGCUGUCAUAUUAGGGUAGGAUUUAAAUGGUAUUGUAAACACAAAAUAGACAAUAAAUACUUAAUCGUCAAAGACAAUAUGUGUCACAGAUGUGAAUGCUUUGAAUGUAAUGUCCAUUCACACAACAUCCAGGAUAUUUUUACUUACUGUUCUUGCAUUUUUUUCUAUUUUCUCAUCUUUUCCCUGACAAUAUUGUUUUAAAUUUCACAUUUUACCAUGUCAAUAUUUGACAUUAGAUGUUCUAUGGUAAUACAAAAGAACACUAUUUUGUAUAUACAACCCCAAUUCCAAUGAAGUUGGGACAUUGUGUUAAACAUAAAUAAAAACAGAAUACAAUGAUUUGCAAAUCAUGUUCAACCUAUAUUUAAUUGAAUACACUACAAAGACAAGAUAUUUAAUGUUCAAACUGAUAAACAUUAUUGUUUUUAGCAAAUAAUCAUUAAUUAAUAGAAUUUUAUGGCUGUCAUAAAAUCAUUGUAUUCUGUUUUUCUGUUCUGUGAACGACUGGUUAGAGCGUCUGCCUCACAGUUCUGAAGACCGGGGUUCAAUCCCAGCCCCGCCUGUAUGGAGUUUGCUUGUUCUCCCCGUGCCUGCGUGGGUUUUCUCCGGGCACUCCGGUUUCCUCCCACAUCCCAAAAACAUGCGUGGUAGGUUAAUUGACAACUCUAAAUUGCCCUUAGGUGAGAAUGCGACUGCGAAUGGUUGUUUGUUUGUAUGUGCCCUGCGAUUGGCAGGCAACCAGUUCAGGGUGUACCCCGCCUCCUGCCCGAUGAUAGCUGGGAUGGGCUCCAGUACGCCCGCGACCCGAGUGAGGAGAAGCGGCUAAAAAAAUGGAUGGAUGGAUGGACAAUGUCCCAACUUCAUUGGAAUUUGGGUUGUAAUAUGUAUGUGAAUAGAGUGCCUUGAUUUUUGUACACAAUCCUCCUAACAUUUCAUAAUAACAGGCUUGUAAUGGUCAAGCUAAAUCAAUCUUUAACAUAGAGCUUGUGUCAAACUGGUGGCCCGGGGGCCAGAUAUGGCCCGCCACAUCAUUUUAUGUGGCCCACGAAAGCAAAUCGUGUGUCGACUUCAUCUUUCUUGUGAAAAUGCCAAAAUUGCAAAUUGUCUUCACUUGUAUAACAUUGAGAUAUUCAAAGCAUUUUAUGUACCAAUCCCCAUUUUAAAAUAGAUUUAAUAAUAGUUGAACAAACAUUUUUAUUGGCUUCUGAUUUCUAAACUAUUUAUCCAUCAAUUUGUUGUAUACAGUGUAUGCAAUUAUAUGAGGCGAUAAUUUAUAUGGCUUCACAGUCGUAACGGCCCUCCGAGGGAAGCCAUCACUACAAUGUGGCCCGCGACAAAAAUGAGUUUGACAACCCUCACAUAGAGGAAGAGAAAGAUUAGUGGAGUAGUGAGGAGCGAUCUCAAUCCUAGUGGAGAAAGGCCUGUGUCCAUGUCAGCUUUAUUUGAUCUCCAAUUUGUGCCUGUGUGCAGACAUCAAACACCAGUACGCAAACACCACUAAUCGGACAGUGCUAACCAGCUUAAAGAGAGAUCAGAGAGCCAGCAACACACACAAGCACAUGCUGAUUGGUCACACCAGGCAUCCUAUGUCAAGGUCUGUCGAGUAGACCUUUAGCGGUGUGAUUUGGAAAAUAAAACUGCCACUGUUAAAUAAUGUCUCCCUUCUCGAGAUGAAAACAAGGUGGAGUACAGAUGAGAUACAAGUAUGCUGUGCCAACCUUGGGUGUGUUCCAGCCUCAUUACCAGCCCUCACUCUUUCCCAACUAAUUUUAUCGUGAUUCGUGUUUGCCUGCCAGCUUCCAAAUAGUCUUAGUGAUGGAAAAGCGAUCCUGACACUUUCAAGAGAUUGGAUGGAUGCUUGAGAGUCCUGAAAUUAAGAUGAGCUAUAAAGUGCUGUAAAAGUUGCACCUGGUAAUUUACCAUGGUGACUGUUCCGAAAGGCACGGAGACACAGCUGACAGUCAGGAUCUCAGAAAUUCUGGAGUGAAAUUUUGGAACCAGUGUUUCAUUUUCAGUAAAAUAUUGAAGUAACCACUAGCUGCUUUUCCAGAAAAACGUUGGACCAAAUUAUUUCGUAUACUAAUUUUAGUUGGAAUCUUUACUUUUGGAUGACUGAAGGUCAAACGAGAGGCACAAUGAGACAUUUUGAAUAGUAGCUUCGAUAACUAUUCAAUUCAACUUCUACAAGUGCUCACAAGCUGUCAGAUUUCUCAUGCAGUGAACAUUCUCAUUUUUAUCUGCAAUCUUUCAAGAGGAAAGAAAUGGUUUUCUGUUAAGCUGUACACAACUGGAGAGAAAGAAACUUUUGCAGUUGUCUAGGAGCUGUAAACAGAUCUGUUUCACGCAUGUAAUGUCAGCUCACCAUCAUCAAUAGGAGAUAAAACUAGAUAACCCCUUCACCUCCUUUGCAUUUCUCCCUCUGUCCUAUCCCAAUCCAGUGUAACCAAUCCGACCCCCCCCCCCACCCCACCGCCACACACACACAUACACAGACAUCCAGUGAAUGUGGUCGAUACCAGAGCAGGUAUUGAGCAGUGGCUGUGGUCUAAAUGAGACAUUGAUUUCUCAGGGGUUGUUAGCCCCCUGUAAACCAAAGUGUCUACUCAUUCCUUAAAGACCACUUCACCAAUCAUUCAUUGAUGUAGCACGUGCGCACAUGCUUUAAACACCAUUUGAUUUUGUUGUGCACAAAAACAAUACUCUGCAAUACAGGCUGAUAGUAGUCAUUAAGACAAGUUCAAUGGGGACACUAAUGAGCUGAUUGUCUGAGCACUUCAUUCUCUUCUAAAACAAGCAAGCAAAGCCAUCAUUUGAACACAAAAGUUGACCAAUACUUGAGUUAGUCCACAGAAACGUUAUUUCCCCAAAAAAAGAAAAUAGUGCCAACCAGUUGAAUAUUGUACUGCUUGGACAGUAGCUAUACAUUGAAAUGCAUUCACUCAGAGCAGGUUCUGAACAUGAACAGGACCUAAUAAUUUCUCUAAACAAACAAAUACACUCUUCAAUAGAUUCAAUGUAUGACUGAACCCCAAACAUUUCGAUGUUAUACCGAGAGCACAAACAUAUAUGUAUUACUCCUUUCAUUUUCUACUUCAUUUCCUAUUUAUUAAUAAACUGUGACUUUUGCGCUCAAUACAGGGGAAUGAGAUGCAUAGAAGAGGUGUUUGACACCAUGAAACAGUGAGAUACAUAAACAGGAGGUCAGAGAGUGUCACAGUGGGACAUAGGGUGGAAAGAAAUACAAAUACACAGCAUCGGAAGGGUUGACUGGCAUUGACAAGCUUUUACUUUGUUCAGGAAAUCCACCAAUCAGCUGACUGUCAUUGACAAGUUCUUGGUGUGUUAAAAAAAAUACACCAAUCAGUGUGUCAGAGUGUGAGUGUGUGAGUGUGAGGGGUGUGUUUAAAAUGCAAUGUAUGUCAAGAGUCAUAGGGAUUACCUUUUGCUGCAAAGCCUCACUAAAGAGACACUUGCCUUAAAGCAAGUAUGUGCUGUUGCCAGACCACACACACACACACACACACACUCACACUCACACAACACAUACAAUGCAUGCACACACACACGCACAAAAAGUGGAUUUUCAUCCAGCCAAGCAAAAACCGAUGCCCAUAUAGAGGCAGCUUCAGACAAAUCCAUUUGAGAUUUCAGAGAAUAACAAAAUAGGACCAAGUGCUUCUGCUGAAAUCUUUCUUUUGUUUCUUUGGAUUAUUUCACCUUGUUUUCCAUAACAAUAAAGUCUAGCCCCCCAACCACACUAACAUGUCACUAACAUAUUUUGUUGUUGUUGUCAAUUCUGUUUUGAUUGUCUAUGCUUGUGUGCAUCUUAAAAUGCAUCUAUGAAUAAAUAAUGUGCAUAACCACUGAUUGAGAAAGCCAUAUUGCCAGAAAGCCAUGAUGAAAUGAUAAUGUAAUAUCUGUCCCAGUUCUGAAUGAAAGCCUGCCAACUUCAUUCUUUCCUGUGAAAUGAUUCCUCAGUUAAAUGAAACCGCAAGCUCCGCUGCUGCACCUUCUAUUGCCUGAUAACAUUCCAUGUAUGUUUUCCACUGCUGUGCAUAUUUUAAUAAAACAUAAUGUCUCUUUCUAUG